GAUGAACGCUGGCGGCGUGCCUAAUACAUGCAAGUCGAACGAACUUCCGUUAAUUGAUUAUGACGUACUUGUACUGAUUGAGAUUUUAACACGAAGUGAGUGGCGAACGGGUGAGUAACACGUGGGUAACCUGCCCAGAAGUAGGGGAUAACACCUGGAAACAGAUGCUAAUACCGUAUAACAGAGAAAACCGCAUGGUUUUCUUUUAAAGGAUGGCUCUGCUAUCACUUCUGGAUGGACCCGCGGCGUAUUAGCUAGUUGGUGAGGUAAAGGCUCACCAAGGCAGUGAUACGUAGCCGACCUGAGAGGGUAAUCGGCCACAUUGGGACUGAGACACGGCCCAGACUCCUACGGGAGGCAGCAGUAGGGAAUCUUCCACAAUGGACGCAAGUCUGAUGGAGCAACGCCGCGUGAGUGAAGAAGGGUUUCGGCUCGUAAAGCUCUGUUGUUAAAGAAGAACGUGGGUAAGAGUAACUGUUUACCCAGUGACGGUAUUUAACCAGAAAGCCACGGCUAACUACGUGCCAGCAGCCGCGGUAAUACGUAGGUGGCAAGCGUUAUCCGGAUUUAUUGGGCGUAAAGCGAGCGCAGGCGGUCUUUUAAGUCUAAUGUGAAAGCCUUCGGCUCAACCGAAGAAGUGCAUUGGAAACUGGGAGACUUGAGUGCAGAAGAGGACAGUGGAACUCCAUGUGUAGCGGUGAAAUGCGUAGAUAUAUGGAAGAACACCAGUGGCGAAGGCGGCUGUCUGGUCUGCAACUGACGCUGAGGCUCGAAAGCAUGGGUAGCGAACAGGAUUAGAUACCCUGGUAGUCCAUGCCGUAAACGAUGAUUACUAAGUGUUGGAGGGUUUCCGCCCUUCAGUGCUGCAGCUAACGCAUUAAGUAAUCCGCCUGGGGAGUACGACCGCAAGGUUGAAACUCAAAAGAAUUGACGGGGGCCCGCACAAGCGGUGGAGCAUGUGGUUUAAUUCGAAGCUACGCGUAGAACCUUACCAGGUCUUGACAUCUUCUGACAGUCUAAGAGAUUAGAGGUUCCCUUCGGGGACAGAAUGACAGGUGGUGCAUGGUUGUCGUCAGCUCGUGUCGUGAGAUGUUGGGUUAAGUCCCGCAACGAGCGCAACCCUUAUUACUAGUUGCCAGCACUAAGUUGGGCACUCUAGUGAGACUGCCGGUGACAAACCGGAGGAAGGUGGGGACGACGUCAAAUCAUCAUGCCCCUUAUGACCUGGGCUACACACGUGCUACAAUGGAUGGUACAACGAGUCGCGAGACCGCGAGGUUAAGCUAAUCUCUUAAAACCAUUCUCAGUUCGGACUGUAGGCUGCAACUCGCCUACACGAAGUCGGAAUCGCUAGUAAUCGCGGAUCAGCAUGCCGCGGUGAAUACGUUCCCGGGCCU
rnacentral:rRNA from 1 species